CACCAAUAAAGCGUCCGAUAGGAUAAGUCCCAUAAAAUAUAUAGAUGUAUGUGACACUUCUUCAGAUGUCACUUGAUUUCUAGGGAGUCCUCCUGGGCCAAAUCUCAGGUGUCAUAAUCUCAGGGCUGCUGAUUCGAAAGAGAGAAAAAAGCUGGGAUAUACAAGAAGCAUUUGGUGGCAUCGUGAAACUGUUCUAGGAAAAAAAUUUCCACAGUGCACGUUUGAUUUGGAAACAGAAAAUAGAAGCAAUUAUGGAUAAAUACCAUCUUCCUCAAACUCCUUCAGCCCACUCUGGAUGUGUACCCCAUAAACAAUGCUGAUUGCUCUCACUGAACCUGGAGAUCACCAAUUCAGCUGGACCAGAUGACAAGCAUGUCCCAAAGUACCUCCUGUCUUCACGUUCCCCAUGGCAUCAUCAGAUGGGUGCCACCAAGCCCAGUCUUUAGAUGGGUGCUGAAGAUGAUCUGAACUCAGGUAUUCACGCCUGCACCAAGCACUGUACCAACAGUGCCAUCCUCACAGCUUCUUAGUGGAACGUUUUCUUGAAAAAUUAAAACUAAAUUCCUUUACUUCAGAAGAAAAGUGAUUCAGACUAAAAGCACUAGCAUUUGUCACGUAGAAAAUGUUUCCAGCAUCCCAGUUACUGUUUUCAAGUGUGUAGUGUACAAAAAUGUGGAGUCACUUCAAACGAAUCGUUUACUUAAUUACAAUCAAUUACAAAUAUCUGCUGAAACAGGGCCACCAACUUCAAGGAAGACCAGGCACUAAGUUGGCACUAAGCAGUAACAUCUUUUUUUUUUAAAUUAUUUCCUGUUCCCUCUCCAUCCCACCCUCCCAUAUCCUUCACAGAACUCCCAUCCACUCCCCAGGGAGGCUUGAAUCAAAAGCCCAGUAUGUGCGAGCUGAAAUCCCAGCAUUUCACCACCCCACAAGGGAGUGAAGAACAGAGUGUGCACCACAGCAAAAGCAGACAGGCUCUUGCCUAUGGUCAACAAUUUUCAAGCAACCGAGAACAAAUAGGUCCUGUCUGUGAGAUGUAGAUUUUCUCAUUAGCGAACCAUAUUGCCCCUCAUUCUCUACACAGAUUGGAGUGCAACAUUGCCAGAAUACAAUAUAGAGCAAGAUUAAAUUUGCUAGCCGAGGAGGCAAUAAGUAAGAGAAACUUCAGCUAAAGACAAAGGGAAACGAGGACCAGUGCAGGAUGCAGAAACUCUGCUUGGGGGCUAGGGCAGGCACAGCAGAUUCUCCUUUGUGUCCUAGAUGAGGAGUACAGCAAAAGCUAACCAAAUUGAGAGCCCCAGUGAUGGUGAUCCCUGACCCCUCAUAUGAGUAGAGGUCAAAUACUGUUCUGCAGUGAGAACUUUAGCAGUUGUCUGUCUGCAAUUGAUCUUUAUUUGGAAACAAAACCAUCUUAUUUUACUAUUGUAAGAGUUAGAAUCAAUGCCUAUCAUUGCACCUGAUAUGAAAGCAUGUGUUCCCAUUGAAUAGUGGUUUCUGUUUUUUACAAAUGGGAAAUCUGAAAGACAGGGGGCAAACAUGAUCACCAAGACAUACUAGCAUUUGAUGCAUAUUGGAAAGACAGGGAAUGAAUAAGUCCAUCUGAAAUAUGGUUUGUCAAUCAAGAUGGGUAAGCCCAUCUCAUCUAUGUGUAUCAUGAAUGUAGUUGCUUAUUUAUGUUGCAAAAGUUAGAUGAUUCCUGAAAUUAAAAAAAAUUACAAGUAAGCUGUGAGCCAUUUUUUUAUUUGCUACCCCAUAGUCUGGGAAGUCAGACUGUUACCCCAACUCAGUAG